UACGAAGGGGGCUAGCGUUGUUCGGAAUUACUGGGCGUAAAGCGCACGUAGGCGGCUCUGUAAGUAAGGGGUGAAAUCCCAGGGCUCAACCCUGGAACUGCCUUCUAGACUGCAGGCCUGGAGGUCAGGAGAGGCGAGUGGAAUACCGAGUGUAGAGGUGAAAUUCGUAGAUAUUCGGUGGAACACCAGUGGCGAAGGCGACUCGCUGGACUGAUACUGACGCUGAGGUGCGAAAGCGUGGGGAGCAAACAGG
rnacentral:rRNA from 1 species